AAAUAUGAAGUAAAAAAAUUUACAUUCAGUUUCGACCUGAGAUUAGACAAUUUAAGUCCUUAUUUU
rnacentral:tRNA from 1 species